UACGUAGGCAGCGAGCGUUUGUUCGGAGUUACUGGGCGUAAAGAGUGCGUAGGCGGUUUCUAAGUUUGGUGUGAAAUCUCCCGGCUCAACUGGGAGGGUGCGCCGAAAACUGGGGUGCUGGAGCGCGGGAGAGGAAAGCGGAAUUCCUGGUCGUAGCGGUGAAAUGCGUAGAUAUCUGGAGGAAUACCGGUGGCGAAGGCGGCAUCCUGGACCGGCAUUGACGCUGAGGAGCGAAAGCCAGGGGAGCAAACGGG
rnacentral:rRNA from 1 species